UGUCGACCGACUAUUGAAUUUAUGCGGUUCCAGGGUCCUUUGAGCAGCGCACUUGUCUGGUGACGUCAUCGAAAGCUGAUUUUCGGUCAGGUAAAGUCUUCCUUCAUUUCUACAGUUGGCUGGUAGACGUAUCAGUACGAUUAGUAGUUCGGCGGUUAUCAUUUCAAUUCAUUUACUCCAACUUUAAUGGAUUUCGAGUUAAAAUUGUAGUUGAGUACCUUUUUAAGGUUUUGUGCUUUUUCUGUUUUAUUUAACGUCAACUUCGCUUUUUUUUUCAAGGCGACUGUACAUUUUUGAGAAUUGUUUGAAUCUGUUCUUUGGACCAUGACUAUAUAUUUUAAUGUGCUUUUGCAAACGAAGCUCUGCUUAAAUGUCGGAACCUAAGUUUCUUGGGGAAUGAUGCUACAAUGAAUACUCAAGACUGGUUGAAAAAAGGAAAAAUUGCUGCCAUCCCGAAGUUCUUCAGACCUUCAAUAUCCCACUUUUACCUUUUCCUCCACCCCAUCGGGGGCGGUGCCCCUGAUCGGAUGGAGGCGCUCCUAAGGGCUUGCAUAGUAGGCGUGUUGGCCGACUGUGCGAGUCCUUGGAGUUUUUUUGUUUUUUCAGUUGUAGUUGACUGAGUUUAAACUUACUAUUACUAGUAAUUUCUUAAACUGAUAAUCUAGCGAUUUCAGUAGAUCAACGUCGCACCUAAUGUUUUGUACUUAUGCAAUGGUUUGUAUAAACCUGAUGGUUUAUAUAAAACUGGUCUAUUGAGUUCCUGUCUUAACAGUUAACUUGCAUUAAUAAGCCAUAUGUAAAGUUUUUUAUGGCUAUUGAAUUAGCUUAAUCCACUGUGGUUUUAGUUACUUCUCGCCCUAAUACUAUGAUUUCGAAAGCUAAUUUUUGUCAUAUUUUAGUUUGGUCGGUUUUUGUAACUAAGUUUUCAGUUUAGGUCAGUUUGAUCUUUAUAUGAAAACCAGAAUUAUUACUUCUGGAUUAGUUUCUGGUUUUAACGCUCCCAUUUCAUUUUUAGUUUUGGAUUAUGAAAUCUAUUAGUCUUAAAAUCAAUGGUUAUGACUUUUUAGAUAUUUGGUAAUUAGUAUUUUGAAGGUUUGAUGUUUGAUCUGUCUUGUAAUUCGAAAAUAUUUUGCAUGAAAGAAAACGUACAUAGUGAGCAACAAUAUACGUUAGAUUUUAAUUUUUCUUCUUUGUAUUAAGGUUUGCUUUUAAUUUAGUUUUAUCCAAAGUUUUUCCUGUUGCUUUUCAUGACUUCCAGGUGACCUUGCUCUGAAGAGCUUAGAAUGGCGGACUAAAGGAUUUGGAGUAAUUGUGUGUUUAGUUCGUGGGAUACUCCUUUUUCCAUCUGUUACAAAAGCGAGCCUUAACUAAUUUUAGUUUUAAGUGUGAUAAAACUGGUUUUGAGAAUAAAUCAUUCUGUAACCGUAGAUUCAAGAUUAAGAUUCCAGUGUGUGUGCACCAUCCUGUAAUUACCAAUGUCUGUAACCACAAAAUUUACCCUGAUUGUCAGAAAAAAAGUACAUGAGCUGUUAAUGUUUUUAAUUUUGAGAUUCAAGGGUGAGAGAUUUUGAGAUUGGUCUUAUUAGUUCUAAUUUGGAUUAAGCUGCGUUUACUUUUCUAAGUUCGCUUGGUUGUGGCU